ACGGCUCAGUAACACGUGGACAACCUACCCUGAGGUCGGGGAUAAACCCGGGAAACUGGGUAUAAUACCCGAUAGAUCUAGAUCGCUGGAAUGCUUUUAGGUCUAAAGCUCCGACGCCUCAGGAUGGGUCUGCGGCCUAUCAGGGUAGUAGUGGGUGUAAAGUACCUACUAGCCUACGACGGGUACGGGUUGUGAGAGCAAGAGCCCGGAGAUGGAUUCUGAGACACGAAUCCAGGCCCUACGGGGUGCAGCAGGCGCGAAACCUUUACAAUGCUGGCAACAGCGAUAAGGGGACCUCGAGUGCUACGAUACAAUCGUGGCUGUCUAGUUGCCUAAAAAGCAAUUGAUAGCAAGGGCCGGGCAAGACCGGUGCCAGCCGCCGCGGUAACACCGGCGGCUCGAGUGGUAACCGCUAUUAUUGGGUCUAAAGGGUCUGUAGCCGGCUUAGUUAGUCUCUUGAGAAAUCUGGCCGCUCAACGGUCAGGCGUUCAGGGGAUACUGCUAAAGCUCGAGACCGGGAGAGGUGAGAGGUACUUCAGGGGUAGGGGUGAAAUCUUGUAAUCCUUGUAGGACCACCAGUGGCGAAGGCGUCUCACCAGAACGGAUCUGACGGCAAGGGACGAAAGCUAGGGGCACGAACCGGAUUAGAUACCCGGGUAGUCCUAGCCGUAAACGAUACUCGCUAGGUGUCGGCCACGGUGCGACCGUGGUCGGUGCCGUAGGGAAGCCGUGAAGCGAGCCACCUGGGAAGUACGGCCGCAAGGCUGAAACUUAAAGGAAUUGGCGGGGGAGCAC
rnacentral:rRNA from 1 species